CAACUGUAACUUGCAGAAGGAAGAAUUUAUUUUGGUAUAUGUUUCCAGAGGGCUAGAGUCUGUGGUGGUGGGGGGGAGGCAAGGCAUGUUAGCAGGAGCAGGAACGUGAGAGAUGAUCACAUUUUAUCUGAAUGUGGGAAGUGCGAGUGCGUGCGCACACACACACACACACACACAGAGAGAGAGAGAGAGAGAGAGAGAGAGAGAGAGAGAGAGAGAGAGAGAGAGAGAGAGAGAUUACAUAACCAUAUGGUACAGUCAAGAAGUAUGUAUCAUGCUUCCAUUAUGUGGAAUUAUCUUGACAAGAACUCUUAUUAACCAGACUUUUUAUUUAACCAGAAUGCCUUAUUCUUUCAUUAGUUUUUACACACCAGAUUUCAUAGUCUUUUCUUGAUAUGAAUGUGUCACAAGGUUCUUCUUGUUAUCUUUCUGACAGUGACAAUGGAAGAAUCUUCCAGAUGGACUGAUUUCUCCCUGCAGCUCUUCAUUGUGUUCUGGGACCAGUGAGUGCCAUUCUUGCUGGCAAGGGGAAGAGGAUGAAGAGUUUGUGAACCGUUUAAGACUUCAAGUUCAGCCAUAGCAAUCAAUUAACAGACCAGUCAAUCAGAGCAUGAUGGGGGGUGGGGUGUUUACCUCCACAGUCAGCUGAUCUUAAAAGUCCUUCAGCACUUUUGAGACAGUGGUUCACAAUGCAGUCUGCUUAGGUGUUGAUAAAUAGACAUAAUGGUCCAUAGUGGCUGGAACCUAGUAGGUCUGCAGUGUGCAGGUGAAUUCGCAGCUCUUCAUUUUCAUAAGCCCUUCAUGCCUUUCUUCGACCACUUUCUGUUAACAGUUACUCUUUGUAUGAAUACACACACACACACACACAAACACACACACACACACACACACACACACACACACACACACACGGUUGGAUUCCCCUCCUAAAAUGAUUUUCUCAUCCUGUAUCACCAAACUAGAAACUCAAUGUGUAAGAGACCACCCUUUCCCUUUUCCAACCUAUAAGACUCCUUUUCUCUUCCUUUCAGUUUGGUUCUUAGUACCUGUUCAAAGCUAGUAAGUACCAUUCGCUAAUUAGUGAGUGGCAACCCCGGGUGUGUGUGGGGGUGUGGGGGGGGGGGGAGGGUGGGAGGUAGAGUCAUGCAAGGUGAUUGGCCUGGGGCGAGAGGGGAAGAGACAGAAACAGGAUCAGGAAAGACAAGAGGCAGCAGCCUUAUGAAUGCUAUGAGGUCUAAAAUUCAAUGAAAAUCCUCUUCUUUCUAAAUACGACUCUGCCAAACAUACGACACGACAGAGAGCAAAACCUGUUUAAUAACAGACAUUGGCAGGGAAUCGUAAUGAAAAUAGUUACAGCAAACGAGCAGCGGGUCCUGGUCAUUAGCUUAGCUAAGGGGAAAUUAUGUUAGUCCAUGAAGGGUCUAAAGGAGCCUCAGCUUCUAGAUCAGGGGUCCUCAAGGACCCGUGAGAAAGCAAAGCAGAGGUCCUUUGUCGCCAUCUAGAGGCUAAAGCCUGGAAGUAUUGGCUGAGGAAAUUUAAUCUGGCUCGAUGUAGAAAACCUCUCUGUCCAAGUUUAAUUAAGGCAAUAUAAAAACACCAGCCUCGGGCUUACCCAAGCCAAUCAGUCCUUUGUCACCGGGCAGAAAUAUGUGUUUAAACUCAAAUAUCCAUAAUGAUGCAAUGAUUUCAGGCUGAAAACACAUUGAUUGUCUCUAAACCUUGACUAAAGGCAGGAAAACACAUUUAAAGAAUGUGGAGUAGGUGGGGGUUGAGGGGGCGGCCUGCACUAUCUUCUAACUGACGAUCUUAGGAAGUCGUUUCAGCUUACAAAGCCUCCUCCUGUUAUAUAAGAGUACAGGACUGAACUAAUUUGACAUUACACUUUUCUAAACUCUAAUUCUUAGAAAGGUUUCUAAGCAUUUGUGACUGUGGAGUUCUUAUCAAAGAAACCUGUGUCUUUGCUGCCCCCUAGAGCUCAGCCUACAACGUGCAAGAAUUCCAUGUAAAAAUACCCCAAAUUUUGUUUGGAGAGGUUGGCAAGUCCCUGUAAUCCUCAGGACGCUUUUUCCUCUUUUUCUUUUCUGAAACAGGUUUUUCAUUCUUCCCACCUUGGCUUUAAACACAUCUUCCUACAUAACUCAGUUCGACUUCUUAUUCCAGAAUCUUCCUCCACCAAUCCAACCCACCUCUUUCCGGCCUUGCUUUGCCUGCUGGAAUUGAAAGCCGUUCUGUGUGUUUAGCAGACAGGGCAAGCUUCCCAAAGGAUUCUCUGAUCUGCGAUGCCUCGUCUGCGUGAGCAGCACCGGACACUGGGGAGGGUUAUCUUCUCUAAGGCCAGGAGUCAUGGUUUAUAAAAUAUAAUCCCAGAUGCUCUUCUUGUGUCCCCAAAAAUGUAUGCGCCAGACUCUCCAAGGAGAGCACUGUCAAAGGUCGGGGGAACCUGUUGAGGAACCGUUUCUGCAGUUUCUUUGAGAGUUAUAACAACGAAUAAUAAAUUAUAUCAGAUAUACAGCUAAUAUUUUUCUUUUAAAUAUUUUAAUGACUUAUGAUUAUGUAUAUUUUUGAAGUUCAAUGUGAUCAUUUGAUACAGUCUAUUGUGUUAAGUCAGGGUAAUUAGUGGGUUUUGCUUUAGCAACUCUCAAGCUUAUAUCUUCUUGCUGUUUUGAGGUAUCAUGAUAAAUAGUUGCAAAGGACCGAACCUGACUGUUCUAACAAAGACUAGGAUUACUCCCUCCUACUUACUAUAUUUAUACACCUGUUGUCAAAGCUGUCUCAGUCUUCUGUCACUUUGCUUUUUGGGGACUCCUAAUGGUGACAAGCGCCCCUCACUCCACUUCCAGGGACUCCAGUGAGCACUGCAUGCAUGUGAUAAUGCGCAUAUUACAUACAAACAAAACACUCACAUAUAGGAGAUAGUCAGUUGUUGAAAACACCCAUUGGUUAGUUACAAUAUCAUUAGCAUUUGAUUUUAUUUCUUUUAAUGCUAAGCUAUUUGACCAUAAACAUGGAUUUUCUUCUAUUCACCAUAUAGACCAGCUACUGGGUCAACCUAACAACAUAGCAUUUUCCUUCUUUUUUACCCAAGGCACAACACCUUCACUCCCCGUAGAACAGAAGGCAGAAAAAGAUUUAGCCUGUGAAGUGGAAAUUUCUGGUUUCUUUGGAAGAUCACUUGUGUCACAUGAUGUUUUUGAGGAAGCUGUCUUGUGAGAGGAUAUUUUUGUUGAAACAGUCCCAUGAGAGGGCGUGUGACCUUUGCUGGAGCGGACCCUUGAGAGGACAUAUGAUGUUUGGAAAGAGUGUAAAUGGAACCCUAUAAACACUAAGAGGAUGCUCUGGCAUCGAUGGCCAUGCAGUGGUUCGCUGGUCUUCUAUAGUCUGCAUUUCACAGAGAGAAACAUGCUGAAGAACUUUUCAUGAUAUUCUGGCCGAUUCUUGCCGCCUCCCUCAACUCGUGCUGAUUCAGCAGAACCUUUCCGUUUCUGCUCGACCCAGUUGUUGCUACUGAUUCCUGUUUGAUGUGUGCUAUUGGAGUGGACUGCUGGUAUCCUCACAAAGAAGAGUGGAAUCACACCCAAAGAACUACUUCUAGACAGGCCCACAACCCUCCUUUUCCUUAUUCUUUCUUAUUAUUUCUUAUUCCCCUACCUCUGGUCAGUGGGCCAGAAGGGAGGUUGAAGCAUUUAAGAACC
rnacentral:lncRNA from 1 species